UACGGAGGGUGCAAGCGUUACUCGGAAUCACUGGGCGUAAAGCGCGCGCAGGCGGCCUUGUAAGUUGGAUGUGAAAGCCUACGGCUCAACCGUAGAACUGCAUCCAAAACUACUCGGCUAGAGUGUGGGAGGGGAAGAUGGAAUUAGUUGUGUAGGGGUAAAAUCCGUAGAGAUAACUAGGAAUGCCAAAAGCGAAGGCAAUCUUCUGGAACACUACUGACGCUGAGGCGCGAAAGCGUGGGGAGCAAACAGGAUUAGAUACCCUGGUAGUCCACGCCCUAAACUAUGAAUGUUAGUCGUCGGAAGGCUCGUCCUUUCGGUGAUGCAGCUAACGCAUUAAACAUUCCGCCUGGGGAGUACGGUCGCAAGAUUAAAACUCAAAGGAAUAGACGGGGACCCGCACAAGUGGUGGAGCAUGUGGUUUAAUUCGAAGAUACGCGAAGAACCUUACCUAGCCUUGACAUUGAUAGAAUCCGGUAGAGAUACUGGAGUGCCUUCGGGGAGCUUGAAAACAGGUGCUGCACGGCUGUCGUCAGCUCGUGUCGUGAGAUGUUGGGUUAAGUCCCGCAACGAGCGCAACCCUCGUCACUAGUUACUAACGGUUCGGCCGAGGACUCUAGUGAGACUGCCUUCGUAAGGAGGAGGAAGGUGAGGACGACGUCAAGUCAUCAUGGCCCUUACGGCUAGGGCAACACACGUGCUACAAUGGCCAGGACAGUGAGACGCAAUACCGCGAGGUGGAGCAAAUCUAUAAACCUGGUCUCAGUUCGGAUUGUAGUCUGCAACUCGACUACAUGAAGCUGGAAUCACUAGUAAUCGUAGAUCAGCAAUGCUACGGUGAAUACGUUCCCGGGUCUUGUACUCACCGCCCGUCACACCAUGGGAGUUGAUUUCACCCGAAGCGGGGAAGCUAAACUGGCUACCCUCCACGGUGGGAUCAGCGACUGGGGUG
rnacentral:rRNA from 1 species